rnacentral:rRNA from 1 species
GACGAACGCUGGCGGCGCGCCUAACACAUGCAAGUCGAACGAGCGAGAGAGAGCUUGCUUUCUCGAGCGAGUGGCGAACGGGUGAGUAACGCGUGAGGAACCUGCCUCAAAGAGGGGGACAACAGUUGGAAACGACUGCUAAUACCGCAUAAGCCCACGACCCGGCAUCGGGUAGAGGGAAAAGGAGCAAUCCGCUUUGAGAUGGCCUCGCGUCCGAUUAGCUAGUUGGUGAGGUAACGGCCCACCAAGGCGACGAUCGGUAGCCGGACUGAGAGGUUGAACGGCCACAUUGGGACUGAGACACGGACCAGACUCCUACGGGAGGCAGCAGUGGGGAAUAUUGCACAAUGGGGGAAACCCUGAUGCAGCGACGCCGCGUGGAGGAAGAAGGUCUUCGGAUUGUAAACUCCUGUUGUUGAGGAAGAUAAUGACGGUACUCAACAAGGAAGUGACGGCUAACUACGUG